CAGUCGCCGCGGGAAUACGUAGGUGGCAAGCGUUGUCCGGAAUUAUUGGGCGUAAAGCGUGCGCAGGCGGUUCGUUAAGACAGAUGUGAAAUCCCCGGGCUUAACCUGGGAACUGCAUUUGUGACUGGCGAGCUAGAGUAUGGCAGAGGGGGGUAGAAUUCCACGUGUAGCAGUGAAAUGCGUAGAGAUGUGGAGGAAUACCGAUGGCGAAGGCAGCCCCCUGGGCCAAUACUGACGCUCAUGCACGAAAGCGUGGGGAGCAAACAGGAUUAGAUACCCCCGUAGUCCCUGUCUCUUAUAC
rnacentral:rRNA from 1 species